CCUUGCUGCUGAUUGAUUGUAGUGAGAGACGUUAUAGCCAUUACUUUUUAUCUUGAGUCACCAUUGUCAUAUCUCGGCGCUGCCGCCCUUGUUUGGAACUACUGAAUGUUGUCUCCGCCACUGUCGAUUUAUCUAUUGCAAAGUCAUAAUUGAUAAUGGAGCUGCUAAGAUUGCUGCUGCUGCCAUGAACUGGGGAUAAAGGGGGUUAUUGAGUUAAAUUCUGCGAUUGAGACAUUGAGGAACCGGAUGAAGAAGCAUUAAGAAGAGUUAUACUGUGUUUGGUUUAUAUGUUGUGGUACUAAUUAGUUUAUUUUCUUCCCUCGUCUUUGUUAUUACAAGUUUGUAAGAGGGAUAGGAAUUGUAUGUUUUAUAUGUAUAUUAUAUUAUGAGUUAAUAUGUAAGGAAUCUUGUAUAUGAAUCUAAACCUGCUUGUAUUUUUCUUAAAAUAAAGUAUUUAUUUUCGAUUUUAAAAAAAA